GAAAUGCGAUACGUAGUGUGAAUUGCAGAAUUCAGUGAAUCAUCGAAGUCUUGAACGCAUAUUGCGCUGGUGGUUCCACCCACCAGCAUGCCUGUUCGAGUGUCGAUUACAUCUCAACACACACACACUCUCAUGUGUGUGUUCUGUUGGAUAUGGGUGUCAGAGUCAGUCACUUGUGAGACUCUGUCACCUGAAAAAUAGGUGGGAGUUGUGUGUGUAAACUGAUCCAUCUUUUGGUCCCAAAUUGGUGUGCUUAACAUACCUAGUAUGAUAUUCACCAGCAGUAAGACCAAGUUAAAAAAAGAGAUGAGAUCCAUAUUACACCUCUCCAAAAAGGAAAAUAAAAAUUAUCCAAAAACUUCGACCUCGAAUCAGGCAAGAAUACCCGCUGAACUUAA
rnacentral:misc_RNA from 1 species